GCUAAUUGAAUUACUAAGUAUCUGACCACUAUAUAACUGGCCACAUCUGUUGCAUUUUGUCGGGUGAGUCUGCCUAGAAUCGGGGUGAAACAAAAUUUAUUCUAAAGAAUGAGUUAGAUAGAAGAACAUGGUACAAUAAUAAUGCAUAACAUUUUCUAACCCAAAACAAAUUAAUUUCCUCAUUUAACAUUUACAGCACCCCAUAAUUGUAUAUCAUUUCUGUUUUGCAGAUGAGAAAAACUGUGGCACACAGAGGUGAAUUACCCAAGAUCGAUGAUCUCUUAUGUAGCAGAGCAGGAAUUUGAUCCUCAAUCCAUCUAAAUCUGGGGCCCACAUUCCUAACCCACUGAGCUAUAAUGCCUCCAGCAAUACCUCAGUAUUAGGAAAUAGGGAGAAAACAUUUCUUAAAUUUAGGGGACAGGAACAACACGGCAUCUAUAACUAAGAUGGGUUUUCUCCUCCUCUUAGCCAUGGCCUUCAUGGAUUCAUGUUAUGAUCUUUUAUAACAGGGCUAAUGUUAAGCAAAGAUGCACCAGUAUGGUUUUCCCAUCUACUAACAAACAUCUAACCUGAUUGUUCAGGUUAUACUUAGAAUGAAUUCUUUAUGUUUAGUCCUGUGCCAUAUCACCUGUUAUAUAUAUUGCUCUAAAAUAACAUUAAAUAAUAUAAAAUAGAGUUUAUUCCUCAAAAACACCAUCAAGUACUCCUCUAGUAUUCACAUAGAUCCCCUAUAAUGACAAAAGGGACAAGAAAGCAUUCUCCUCCCUUGUAUACUGAACACAAUGUCAUUCAGCACAUAUUCUGUAGAUAUAUUCUUGAAACACAUUCUAUAUUUUAAGGGCACCAUAUUUGAUGGCUCUGCUCUGGCAAUUUCAGGGUUCAAGAAUAUCAGUAGGGCUAUGGCAGUGGUAGCUAUGUCUAAAAGGAAGCACUUGGCUAUAAUCCCUGCAAGCAGAGCCAAGACCCCUUCACUCAACUAUGUAGGCAUCAAAGGUAUCCACACAGAUGGAAAUAACCACACAGUGCUAAAACAGAAAAACAAGAAGAUGGAGGAUAUCACCUGGCGACUGACGGCACUUCAAGUCUUGAUUCCUACAUGAGAGAAAAAUGCAAAGGUCUCUCUGUCUAAGCUUUACAACUUCAGAAAGAACAUGUAUUUUACAUCUUCUCAGAAACUCAGAAAGAACAUGAAUGGAAAGGAAUGGCUAGAAUCAUCAUGUGAUGAAUCAUGUACCCAAUGGCACAUGGAUGGUGACUAAUCCUUGUAGCCAAAGCUGAUAAAUGACCUCCAUUGAGCAGUGACUAGAAGAUACAGGACCUUCUGUGAUUCUUUUUGUGAUUAGAGAGUUGUGACCACCUCUGCUCAUCAGACGUUGGAUGAACUGUUCAGUAGUGGUUAAGGUGGGGGGCAAAUUGCUUUCUCUUUGUUUUUGCUUAUUUCUUGUUUAUGCUUUUAAACAAAAUUGAAUUACACAGGGUAAGAUAUUUAAUUAUUCUAAGAUUAGUUUCCUUAUCCCUAAAAUGUGGAUGAUAAUACAGUAUCACUUUUGUAAGUGGGGGUGCGAAGAUUAAAUAUAAUAAUGGAUAUAAGGUACUGAACACAAUAUCUAGAGCAUAUCAAGUACUCUGAAUGUUAGUUCUUAUUUCUAAAUUUAAGCUCUCUUCCUUGCGCUCAAAAAUGAUCCUACUUUUAAACUUAUUUUUUGAGUUUUAUGACUACCUUGACCUAACUCCAUUCCCUAUCAUUUCAUCCUCUCAAUUGUUUAAAAUCACUUCUGAACCUCUUAAAAAUCACAUUUAAGUGACUAAUAUGGG
rnacentral:lncRNA from 1 species